UCCUACGGGAGGCAGCAGUGAGGAAUAUUGGACAAUGGGUGCGAGCCUGAUCCAGCCAUCCCGCGUGAAGGACUAAGGCCUUAUGGGUUGUAAACUUCUUUUAUACUGGGAUAAACCUACUUACGCGUAAGUAGCUGAAGGUACAGUAGA
rnacentral:rRNA from 1 species